rnacentral:lncRNA from 1 species
AGUACCCAGAGCUCAUGGACCUUUCUCAAAAAGUAGGCAGAUAUCUUAGUGUUCUGGUCCAAUGACAAUAAGCCUUGCGGGGCUGGAAGCCAUUCUGUCUCUUUAAGGUAAAAACCUCCGCUCCAUCCAUUCUGUUCAGACUCUGAUUCUUCCUUCCAGCUCUGGACAGAGGUGAGGGAAGCAGGGAGCAGUACAUCUCCGGAGCUAUUAGAUGGUAUUAUUAUUACUCCCAUUCCCAUGUUAUCUAUGAGGAAAUUGAGGCUCUGAGAAGUUGUGAAAACGGAACUGUCUUUUCGUAUGUGAAAGAUACUAGACUCUCAGCUCCCUGAGUGGAAGCCAUCGUUGGUCUGACCUGGACAACCCCUCCUGGGCCUACGGGGCUCGCAGAGCCUGCCCCCAGGAGCCUUUCAUGCCCACUUACAAAUUCAAUGCUUUUGCUCAGGGGCCCCGAGACAGCUGUUUGACUCUCUGCCAGGAGGGUUUAUUUGAAGAGCUGUCCUACAGUUGUAGUGGCAGAGCUGUGUGGAUCCAAUCACACCUUUACCCAAUUCCCCAUCUCAAAGUUCACAUUUGCAGAAUGACUCACUGGGAUGAGAGGGUCCAGCCUGGGCCCUGAAAUGACAGCCCUCAGGGUCAGAAGGGGAGCCUAACCAAAUUAUUCAUUUUCCCCACAACUCUAGUUCCCAGAAAUUUACAUUUCAAAGACCAAUAAAAUUUCCCCCAAAAUUUUGGAGGCCAAAAAGUAAGACCUUUGUCAAGCAAGGUUAUCUGGGAAAAAACCUAGUCUAUAUAUAUAUCAUCUUUCAUAAAAUAAAGAAUACCUGAACAUCAAACCUUCAGAGAGGGCUCAGAAUAAAGGACAGUACCUUUAAUGGAAUGAAUUUAGUUAUAUAAAGAAGCUAGUACCUCCUCUGAUGAAAACUAGUUUGCAAUCACAGUCCUGUACCAGCCCCAAAUUAAUCUAGGCAGCAUUUGUGGGAACUUCUUCAAUGAUGGGAAUUCACAAUUUCUGAGAGAGCCCACUCUAGUUUCAAAAAAACUUUCCUAAGAUUUAAAAAACUGUAUAAUGUAAAAAUGUAUAUAGGUAUAUAUAUAUUUUUAUGGUUGGACCUGCGGCAUAUGAACGUGCCUGGGCCAGGGAGUGAAUCUGAGCCACAGCUGUGACCCAACCGGCAGCUACAUCAAUGCCCGAUCCUUUAACCCACCGUGCUGGGAGGGGAUUGAACCCACAUUUCCAUAGCCACCUGAGCCACUGCCGUUGGAUUCCCACCACAGAGGAAACCCCCACAAAUAUAUUCUUAUAAAAAAUCAAACUGUCAGGAAUAAUGCUUCAAUAGCCUUUGUCGCUCUACUCCACUCCAAUACUUACUCUAUUUCCAUCGUCAGCAUCAAUUCCACUGAGGCCAGGUCCCUGGGAGUAACAAGAAUAAAGCUAAUAUACUAAGUAUCUGCCACGAGCUGAGCGCUGCUCUAAGGGGCUAAUACAUUUGCAAUUAAUUACUUCCUACGACAACUUUAUACUGUAGGUAUAUUAUUAUUCCUACUCACAGACUGUAAAAACAAAACAAAACACAGAGUAAUGUGCCCAAGAAAUUGACCAAGUUCAGAUUCAAACCCCAGCAGCCUGGCUCCAGGGUCCAUCCUCUUAACCACCACUCCUGCUCAUGGUAAGACUUCCUUAUGUAACCAAUUCAAAGGCAAAAAAUAUAUUUUCCUCCUCCCUCCUCCUCCCAUGACCCCUGCCCUGGUUCCUCCUCUCCCUCCCUUUCUGUUGGUCUACUGCAAUAAACCUAACCCAUAUCCCUGCCUCCGUUCUCUCCACCCAAAGAACUCCUCCAACCCCAGACACAUUCAAGUUGUUAGUUUAAACUUAUUCUCACGAUAAAAAUCAGUUAUGCUCAGUUAAAGACAAUUAGAAAAUAUAGAGAAAUUGAAAGAAGAAGAAGAAAGAAACUAUUUAUAGUCUUACCAACCACAGAAACCAUCUCUAUUAAACAUUUUGAUAAUGUCCCUUCCAGGUUCUUUCUUUUUAAUAAAUGAGCCUUUUUAUUUUUUAUACCUGAGAUUAAAAAAAAAGUUCUUAUCAUUCUAUAUCUAAAAUUAUUUGGUGAAAAUUAUCUCGGGCAUUUUUUCAUGUUAUUAAAUACAGAAUUGUCAGUGUAAAGUUAGAUUCUGAUCAUGUAAGUUAUUACUCAAAAAUAUCCAAUAGCUCUCCGAUGCCUAUCCAGUAAAUUACAAAUUCCUCAAUUUGGCAUUCAAAGCCCUCUAUAAUCUAUUGUGAUGUGUUUUAUCUCCUAUUUUUCCACAGCCUGGCCCCUGCCCCAACACAUACUCUUGCCUUUGGGAAUCUCCAUUGUUUGAACACUUCCUGUACUUUUUCCACACCCCCUUCGCCUUUGCUGACACACACGUUCUAGAUUUUAGAGGACACACCCAAUGUUGAUUGGUCUAGGCUUAAACUCAACUCUCGUUUUCCUCCAAACCUACUUCCAUGCCCUACCCCAACCCCGGCUCCACAUCAUUUGCUCAGGACAAGACUCUUGGAGUCAUGGCUGACUUUCCUCUUUCUCAUACGUCACAUCCAGUCCAUCAGCAACUCCCGCGGGCUCUGCCUGGGAAUAUCGACUGGGAAUUCCAAUGCUUUUCAGCACCUGACCCAUGACCACUCAAGUCCAAGUUGCCUGUAACUCUCACCCAUGCUAACGUCAUAGCUUCUAUCUGGACCUUUCUGCUGCUCUCUGGCCUCCAUGCAGACUGUUUCCAACGCAGCAGCCAAAAGGGUUUGUUUGUUUUGUUUUUUUAAUGGCCGUACCUGCAGCAUAUGGAAGCUACAGGGUUGAAUCGGAGCUGCAGCUGAUGGCCUACACCACAGCCACAGCCAUACAAGAUCCAAGCCUCAUCUGUGACCUACAUGGCAGCUUGUGGCAACACCAGAUGCUUAACCCACUGAGCGAGGUCAGGGAUGGAACCUGCAUCCUCAUGGAGACGACACGGGGUCCUUAACCUGCUGAGCCAUGACAGGACUCUCCAAAGUAUCUUUUAUUUUUUUUGUCUUUUUGCCUUUUUGGGGGCCGCUCCUGUGGCGUAUGGAGGUUCCCAGGCUAGGGGUCUAAUCAGAGCUAUAGCUGCCAGACUACACCACAGCCACAGCAACGCAGAAUCCAAGCCACGUCUGGGACCUACACCACAGCUCACGGCAACACCGGAUCCUUAACCCACUGAGCAAGAAAUUAUUCCCGUUGUGGCUAAGCAGUAACGAACCGGACUAGAACCCAUGAGGAUGAGGGUUUGAUCCCUGGCCCCACUCAGUGGGUAGGUCGCAGACACGGCUUGGAUCUGGCAUUUGCUGUGGCUGUGGGGUAGGCCGGCAGCUGCAAAUCUGAUUCAACCCCUAGCCUGGGGACUUCAUGACGCUCUGUGAAUGACAGUAUCAAAGGAAUGAAAAGAAAAGCUACAGGAGUUCUCUUAUGAUGCAGUGGGUUAAAGAUCUGACUUUGUCACAGUGGCUUGGGUCACUGCCUUGGCAUGGCUUUGAUCCCUGGCCUAGGAACUUCCACAUGCUGUAGGCUCAGCCAAAAAAAAGAAAAAGAAAAAAGAAAAAGAUAAGCUACAGACUGAGAUGAUAUAUUUGCAAAAGAUACAUCUGAUAAAGAACUGUUAUCCAAAAUAUACCAAGAACACUUAAAACCAACAAUAUGAAAGAGUGAAGUCAAUGAGAAAGAAAAAGACCAAUUCCAUAUAAUAUCACUUCUAUUGGAAUCUGAAAUAUGGCACAGAUGAACCUAUCUAUGAAACAGAAAUAGGAGUUCCCACUGUGGCGCAGCAGAAACAAAUCCGACUAGGAACCAUGAGGUUACGGGUUUGAUCCCUGGCCUCACUCAGUGGGUUAAAGAUCCAGCAUUGGCAUGAGCUACCAAUGUAGGUUGCAGACGUGGCUCAGAUCUGACGUUGCUGUGGCUCUGGCGUAGGCCGGUGGCUAUAGCUCCAAUUAGACUCCUAGCCUGGCAACCUCCAUAUGCCUUGGGUGCGGCCCUGAAAAGGACAAAAGACCAAANAAAAAAAAAAAAAAAAAAAA